rnacentral:lncRNA from 1 species
GGUAUACAAAACCUUCCAGCAGCGUCGGAUCUUCCAGUCACUCAUCGAAGCUGCCGUGUUUAGAGCGCCAGUUACUUCCCUACCGCAAUCCCUUCAGCUGCCCUUCUAGGCAGCUGUGAACCGGAAAACAGAUGUUGAAGGAUGGAAAAUUCUGCCCAUACGUCGUGAAGAGCUCACUUGGGAAGUUUCCUAACGCAGAGAUAAAUUAGGAAGCAGAUCCUGGUGCCGGAUCUUGGUAUACAAGUUUGUUUCCGAAGAGCCCAGGGUUGAAAAUUAACUUCAGGACAAAACACCGCAGUCCAGAAGAGUGGUGGUGGUAGCCAGAGGCUUUUUUCUUCGGAUGACAAAACUGAUGGGGCAGGAUGUGGCAGCCCAACUGUGUGCCUGUGCUCCAGGCUAACUAGUUUUCCUGGGUUUGGAUCCUGUGUUCAGAGACCCACUGGGUUGUUUGACCAAGAAAGGCUCCGUUUUCCCUCUUCCAGAGGGAGCAAUCACGUGCCCUCACCAGAACAAGCCGGAGUCCUCGGCCCUGCAUGCAAUCUGAUUUCUCUCAGAGCCUGGAGCAGCCCGCACACCAUCUGCGUCCACGUUCGUGGGACUACGAAGUGCUGACACAGGACUGCAGCUCGGGGCCUGCGGCUUGCCAGGACCCUUCUAGAAGAUCCAUUACUUUUAUCCUUAAGAGAAAAUGUGAAUUUGUUUGAAGGAAAUGUCCCUGGGUAAGUUGUUAUACUUGGGGAGAUUCAUGGAUGCUGAUCUUGGCUGCAGCUUUGACUCUAUGGUAACUUCUAGUAAAACUCUCUCCUCCAUCUAAACAAGCUUUUACGGUGCUAACCAAACAACUGGAGUGAUUUAAAAUGUGCUCAAUUUUGCGGAUUCUGAGACAUCUUUCUCAUUAAACAUAACACUCUCUGUUGACUCACACAAUCAGUAGAACGGAAUCUAUUAAGUCAUGCUCAACUAAAUUUGACUAGUUCAGAAGACAGCUGAACUGAAUUUCCUGUUUUUGUUUUUUUCGUGUGUGUGUGUGUGUGUGCAUGGCAUGUUUUAUCAAGUGGUCAUUGUUCCAUAUCAGAGAAACACAUGGACCAUAAUCUCAAGAUUGCAUCUUCUUGCCGAAGUCUGUUAAAUAUACUACAUUUAUUUGAUGCUUAGUUUCAAGAUGAAUGAAAGGAAACCAACACACUGGCUCUGAUUUUGACAAGUUCCCCAAGUAAUCCUCAAGAAAGUACUUGAUUCUCCAGGGACCUCGCUGAGGCCCAGUUUCGACCUCCAUAGAAUGAGGAUCAGAUGGUUUGAUUCGGAGGUUGUUUCCAACACAGCUAAUGUAACACUCCUGGCAUAACCCUCAGCAGUAGCAUUCGCCCAACAAAUGCUAGUUUUCUCCUCUCUCUUCCUAAACAGAAAGGGAAGCAGUCUUUUCCAGUUUUACUCUUCUAAUAUUAGAGAGCAGAUCUUGGGGGCAUGUCUCUAGAAUCAAGUCCAGCUCCACUCCUGGUUUUGGGGCCAGUGAAAUAAAUAAAUCUUCUGUGCCUCAGUUUUCCCUACCUGAAAAUGGGGGGAAAUAACAGUACUUAUAGGCUGCUAUGUAUAAUCAAUGGGUUGAUAGAUACCUAGCACUUAAAACUUUUCCUGGCACAGAGUAGGAGCUGUAGGAGUGGGAGCUAUUAUCUUUAUUAUCUGCCUAGUAAAAUGGCGUGUCCAAGCUCGAGGUUCAAGGCGCUUCCCCCUUGGAUGAUGCAUGAGAUACACUGACCACUUCUUGCUUUACUUCUCUUUUUCUAGGUCCUACCCAGAACCUCUUCCUCCUGUUGAUUCAUUUAAUAUUUACAGUCACACUAUCCAGGUUUUCCUUUUAAUAAUCCUGUGAUUAUAAUUGGUUAGGAUUAUGUGAGACUUGUCCCUUUUCGUUGUUGUGAUGGUGGUGAUGGUAUGGUGAGUGUGUGUGUGUGUGUGUGUGUGUGUGUGUGUUAUAGCCUGAGAUAUGGUGGCACAGCCAGCCUGAUGGAUGUGAGUGUAGCUGUAACUUUCUACACGUUCAUUUUCUAUUACUAGUUUUUAUUGGGAAAUUUCCACAGGUUUCUACUUCUGUUAUGGGCAUAUCUCCCAAAAAGUAAGUAGCAUAUCUCUCAACCAUGCUUGUUGAGGGGUGGGAAUGGGAUAACCUCAGUUCUUCCAAAAUUUUGACAACAGAGGGUUAUUAGGUUUAGGAGAGGGUGCUAAAUGACUCAGAGAUAGGGACAAACCAUAUGGCCGUAUUAUUCAGGGAUGGGACAACCUAAUCGGGGCACAGGGAGCUCUGGAUCCUACAGAGAACAUUCCUCUCAGAUUAUAGGGACUGUGUUAGAAAACAUUUCUCACUCAAACUGAAGAAAAUAAAAACAGAUCCAAAGUAGAUGUAAGGUGCCUUCCGUGGCAGUAACCUAAGAGAUAAUUCUGUAAAUGUGCUGCUAAUGAGACAAAGAUGUCCUUUCUAUUAAUUCACAGGCACCAGUGUGUUUCUCAGUUUCCAUCCAAGUGAUGGGGGUGUGCACCCUAGGGGAACAGGACCGUGAUUGCAACACACCUAUGGGGAUGCGGUGUUGACAAAACAGAUUGAGUUAUGGAAAUGGGGUCUGGAGAAAUGAGUGCCCACGAGUAAAGCCUUGUCAUUGGCAGUUAGCAGUUCUCAGAGUAGACAGUAAACUGCGUCUAAGGGCAGGCCCCUGUUGUCUGGACAGAAAUACCUAGCAAGUGAUAGGACAAUCCAUUCAGAUAUUCCAUGGACACUAUUAAGAGCAUCUAUGCCUAAGUGCUUUAAUUCUGUGUUCACCAGGGGCAGACUGAGGCGUCCUUUGCUCCACUGAUUGUCAUACCCAGCAGUAGGAAGUGAUGUCUGCGAAUCUGGCCAAAUGAACCUCCUAUCUGGGGCAGAUCACACGGGGCGUUGUAGACCAUGCUAAGAAUUUUGGAGGUUGGGAAAGCAUUUGUGGGUUUUAAACAAGGAAGUGAGAGAAAAUGUGGUGCUAUUUAUAGAUUUAUAAACUAAAGAAUCAGAGAAAAGUCACUUACUUGAACUAUUCUAAAUUUUUAAAAAGAAAGUCGCUUACUUUCCAUUCACGAAAACUUCGGGAACACUAUACGAUCUUCUAUUACUCAGGGUUCUUCAGAGAAACAGGUCGACAGCAUAUAUGUCCGUGUCUAUCCUGAGCCUCAGUCCUAGCUCUUAAGGCCUUCAACGGACUGGCUGAAACUUGCCCACAUUGUGGAGGGUAAUCUGUUUGCUCAGUCUCCUGACUAAAUGUGAAUCACGUCUAAGAAAUAGCUUCGCAGCAUCACAUCUGGAUUGAUGGACACCACACUCUAGCCAAAUCGACACAUUAAAAUUAACCGUUGUAGACGGAGAGAAUUUAUGAUGUCACCCUUAGUUGAGAGGUGACUUUGUUAGUUCAGGACAAUAUACUAACACCAAGGGCAAGUCAUUCAUUGCCAAUCGCAAGUGUCCAUGGCCAAUAAACAUGAGUUGGAUUCCCACAUGAGCCAUUUAGUUUUAAGGCUCAUGUUUUAGAUUGUAUUCCAACGUUUUAAGCUCUAUGUCUAACCCUCUGAAGUAUAUUCUUGCUCACUAAGGGAAUGCGCAAGAGGUAUGGGAAAAUCAAUAAACACAUAUGCUCUUGUGAGCAAACAACUCAGAGUUGUGGAUUGUUGGGACAUGGUAGUGGAUAAAGUAUGUCUCGCCCGGCAUGGAUGGACGUAAAGGGCUAGCAUCUUUCUGUCUGCAUCACAUUUUUUUAAAGAUUUUAUUUAUUUGACAGAGAGAGAUUAAGCAGGAGCAGAGGGAGCGAGAGGGAGAAGCAGGCUCCCUACUGAGCAGGAAGCCUGAUGCGGGGCUCGAUCUCAGGACCCUGAGACCAUAACCCGAGCCAAAGGCAGCCCCUUAACCGACUGAGCCACCUAGGCGCCCCUCGUAUUUGUUUUUUAAAUGAAAUUUUGACUUUCUUUUAAAACUACCUAGGCAGAAAUAAAUUUAUUGUGCAUAUCAAAGUAUAUAAUAAAAGUUGUUACUAUUGUUUACCAG